ACACCGGCAGCCCAAGUGGUGGCCAUUUUUAUUGGGCCUAAAGCGUUCGUAGCCGGCCUGAUAAGUCUCUGGUGAAAUCCCGCAGCUUAACUGUGGGAAUUGCAGGAGAUACUAUCAGGCUUGAUGUCGGGAGAGGUUAGAGGUACUACCAGGGUAGGGGUGAAAUCCUAUAAUCCUGGGAGGACCACCUGUGGCGAAGGCGUCUAACUGGAACGAACCUGACGGUGAGUAACGAAAGCCAGGGGCGCGAACCGGAUUAGAUACACGGGUAGUCCUGGCCGUAAACGAUGUGGCCUUGGUGUUGGGAUGGCCUCGAGCUGCCCCAGUGCCAAAGGGAAGCUGUUAAGUCCACCGCCUGGGAAGUACGGUCGCAAGACUGAA
rnacentral:rRNA from 1 species